rnacentral:rRNA from 1 species
GAUGAACGCUGGCGGCGUGCCUAAUACAUGCAAGUCGAGCGAACGGACGAGAAGCUUGCUUCUCUGAUGUUAGCGGCAGACGGGUGAGUAACACGUGGAUAACCUACCUAUAAGACUGGGAUAACUUCGGGAAACCGUAGCUAAUACCGGAUAAUAUUUUGAACCGCAUGGUUCAAAAGUGAAAGACGGUCUUGCUGUCACUUAUAGAUGGAUCCGCGCUGCAUUAGCUAGUUGGUAAGGUAACGGCUUACCAAGGCAACGAUGCAUAGCCGACCUGAGAGGGUGAUCGGCCACACUGGAACUGAGACACGGUCCAGACUCCUACGGGAGGCAGCAGUAGGGAAUCUUCCGCAAUGGGCGAAAGCCUGACGGAGCAACGCCGCGUGAGUGAUGAAGGUCUUCGGAUCGUAAAACUCUGUUAUUAGGGAAGAACAUAUGUGUAAGUAACUGUGCACAUCUUGACGGUACCUAAUCAGAAAGCCACGGCUAACUACGUG